rnacentral:rRNA from 1 species
GUCGACAGCCAUGCUACCCUGAACAAGCCUGAUCCUAUCUGAUCGCGGAAGCUAAGCAGGGUCGGGUCUGGUUAGUAGUACUUGGAUAGGACACCACCCAGGAAUACCAGGUGCUAUAGGCA